UACGGAGGGGGCAAGCGUUAUUCGGAAUUAUUGGGCGUAAAGGGCGCGUAGGCGGCCAGCACAAGUCAGUUGUGAAAUCUCCGAGCUUAACUCGGAAAGGUCAACUGAUACUGUGCGGCUAGAGUGCGGAAGGGGCAACUGGAAUUCUUGGUGUAGCGGUGAAAUGCGUAGAUAUCAAGAGGAACACCUGCGGCGAAGGCGGGUUGCUGGGCCGACACUGACGCUGAGGCGCGAAAGCGUGGGGAGCAAACAGG
rnacentral:rRNA from 1 species